CGUAGGUGGCAAGCGUUGUCCGGAAUUAUUGGGCGUAAAGCGCGCGCAGGCGGUCUCUUAAGUCUGAUGUGAAAGCCCCCGGCUCAACCGGGGAGGGUCAUUGGAAACUGGGAGACUUGAGUGCAGGAGAGGGAAGUGGAAUUCCAUGUGUAGCGGUGAAAUGCGUAGAGAUAUGGAGGAACACCAGUGGCGAAGGCGGCUUCCUGGCCUGUAACUGACGCUGAGGCGCGAAAGCGUGGGGGAGCAAACAGGAUU
rnacentral:rRNA from 1 species